GCGUCGCAGACGGUGGGUGAAACUUUGGGACGGUAAGUUUGACCGUCUUUAAACUUACCGUCCCAAAGUUUCACCAACCGUCUG
rnacentral:miRNA from 1 species